rnacentral:rRNA from 1 species
CAUCAGCCGCGGUAAUACAGAGGGUGCGAGCGUUAAUCGGAUUUACUGGGCGUAAAGCGUGCGUAGGCGGCUUUUUAAGUCGGAUGUGAAAUCCCUGAGCUUAACUUAGGAAUUGCAUUCGAUACUGGGAAGCUAGAGUAUGGGAGAGGAUGGUAGAAUUCCAGGUGUAGCGGUGAAAUGCGUAGAGAUCUGGAGGAAUACCGAUGGCGAAGGCAGCCAUCUGGCCUAAUACUGACGCUGAGGUACGAAAGCAUGGGGAGCAAACAGGAUUAGAUACCCCGGUAGUCCCUGUCUCUUAUAC